CCUACGGGUGGCAGCAGUCGAGAAUCAUUCACAAUGGGGGAAACCCUGAUGGUGCGACGCCGCGUGGGGGAAUGAAGGUCUUCGGAUUGUAAACCCCUGUCAUGUGGGAGCAAAUUAAAAAGAUCGUACCACAAGAGGAAGAGACGGCUAACUCUGUGCCAGCAGCCGCGGUAAUACAGAGGUCUCAAGCGUUGUUCGGAAUCACUGGGCGUAAGGCGUGCGUAGGCUGUUUCGUAAGUCGUGUGUGAAAGGCGCGGGCUCAACCCGCGGACGGCACAUGAUACUGCGAGACUAGAGUAAUGGAGGGGGAACUGGAAUUCUCGGUGUAGCAGUGAAAUGCGUAGAUAUCGAGAGGAACACUCGUGGCGAAGGCGGGUUCCUGGACAUUAACUGACGCUGAGGCACGAAGGCCAGGGGAGCGAAAGGGAUUAGAUACCCGUGUAGUC
rnacentral:rRNA from 1 species